GACGAACGCUGGCGGCGUGCUUAACACAUGCAAGUCGAGCGGUAAGGCCCUUUCGGGGGUACACGAGCGGCGAACGGGUGAGUAACACGUGGGUGACCUGCCCUUAGCUCUGGGAUAAGCCUGGGAAACUGGGUCUAAUACCGGAUAUGACUCCAUGACGCAUGUUGUGGGGUGGAAAGCCUUGUGCGGCUAGGGAUGGGCCCGCGGCCUAUCAGCUUGUUGGUGGGGUGAUGGCCUACCAAGGCGACGACGGGUAGCCGGCCUGAGAGGGCGACCGGCCACACUGGGACUGAGACACGGCCCAGACUCCUACGGGAGGGCAGCAGUGGGGAAUCUUGCGCAAUGGGCGAAAGCCUGACGCAGCGACGCCGCGUGA
rnacentral:rRNA from 1 species